GAGCACUUGAAAGCCAAGUAAUAAUAGGUCAUUCUCAAAAUUACUAAUUUUAUUAUAAAAAUGAACUUGUAGUGAAACUUGGUGAAGUAUCGUUUGCACACGAUAAGCAAGCACACCUGGCUCCCAUGUCUCGGUCAUCAGACCAAACGGCAGCCAGUCGUGGGCUGGCCAACAACCUGGUCCUUGGACAUGAAGGAGCACAGCAUUUGACAGAGGUCAUCUGGCCACAGUUCUCCAACAUGGAAGGACGUGACGUGUUAUUCAUUUUUGAUUUCCAGAGCAUCUCAGAAUUCAGAAAGGUCACAUCUUUGAUCAGUACAAGGACACUCUAAAUGACAAUAUGAAGGCACUCAGUGGGAUUUUUAAAAAUGCUAAUUGCAUAGAAUGAAGGAAUAUUCAUGGAAGCCUUCAAA